UGGGGAAUAUUGGACAAUGGGCGAAAGCCUGAUCCAGCAAUGCCGCGUGAGUGAUGAAGGCCUUAGGGUUGUAAAGCUCUUUUACCRGGGAUGAUAAUGACAGUACCCGGAGAAUAAGCUCCGGCUAACUCCGUGCCAGCAGCCGCGGUAAUACGGAGGGAGCUAGCGUUGUUCGGAAUUACUGGGCGUAAAGCGYACGUAGGCGGYUAUUCAAGUCAGAGGUGAAAGCCCGGGGCUCAACCCCGGAACUGCCUUUGAAACUAGAUAGCUAGAAUCYUGGAGAGGUSAGUGGAAUUCCGAGUGUAGAGGUGAAAUUCGUAGAUAUUCGGAAGAACACCAGUGGCGAAGGCGACUSACUGGACAAGUAUUGACGCUGAGGURCGAAAGCGUGGGGAGCAAACAGGAUUAGAUACCCUGGUAGUCCACGCCGUAAACGAUGAUAACUAGCUGUYCGGGCUCAUAGWRCUUGAGUGGCGCAGCUAACGCAUUAAGUUAUCCGCCUGGGGAGUACGGUCGCAAGAUUA
rnacentral:rRNA from 1 species